UCCUGGGCGGCCGGCGCGGCGGCGGCGUCGGCGGCCGCCUUGUUGGCGUCGGCGGCGGCGACGGCGGCGUUCGAAGCCGCGUCCGUGGCC
rnacentral:tRNA from 1 species